rnacentral:lncRNA from 1 species
CUCACUCACCUCUCUCUGAUGACCUAAAGAUGGAAUUUUCCUGCAGGCUUUAACAUAAACCCGGUCAGUGUGCACGAUCUUCUCCCCAGUGGGCGAAGUUCACAGCCCCAAACGCCUGGUGCCCCAUAGCGGGCUCCACGCCACCUGCCGCUCUGGCCCAGCAGCCACCGCGAGCCACCGCCGCCAUCUUGACCCGGCGUGCCAAUGCCGACGCAUGCGCACUCUUAAUAGCAUCCUUUAGUAUUAUGCGUAGAGAAAUGUAUAAUCUUAUUCUUUGCACUCUCUUUCGUCUUCCCAUUUUGAGAUGCAUUUUUUUCCUGCUUUUUCAGAACAUACAAUGUUUAUGUAUUAUUCUUAUACCCAUAAUUCCAGCCUUAUUUUAGCCUGGGCUCUGCAAUAUAGGAAAUGCUCACCGUCAGUUCCUUUGCCAAUUUCUCCUAUCGUCUCUUAUUGGGUGAAGCCCAUCGUCUGGUAUGAGAGUGAAAGCGCAGGUGCUCUGGGUGCACACGGGAAGGCAUGGACGCCAUCUCUUGAGAAACCAGAAAGCUACCAAGAGGAAGUCAUGCUGUCUAGUUUGAGAUCCAAAGGAUCAUGUGCCAAAGGAGGAGAUACAUCGAGUGUCUCUCAGAGAAAACCCCAGAAACCAGUUUCAGUGAUUGCCCUUGGCGGGGAUAGUAUAUGACUUGAAAACAGAGACGGGAGACAGACUUCCUCUACAUUAUCUACGCUUUUGUACCUUUUGCAAAUAAAAAAUACAAAUUAAAUCCUAACUCUUUAAAAGAGCAAUG